AAUACAGUUAUUAAAAACCAGGAUGAUCUUUCCCAUCGAACGUACUUCGAUAGAAGUGAUAAUACGAUUCGCACUUAUAAAUUUGGAAAAAAAUAUCCCAAGGGACCACCCAACACGGUACCAUAACUCUAAGUAACUCUAACCAGAAAUCACCAAGAAGUGCGUCAGAAUGACGUCACAAUCACCCCGGCAACCACAGCAGGGUUCUGGCUUCGUUCGCCAGGUGGUGCCACGCGUCUUAGUUUGGGAGUAGAGGGUCUGCGCGCGGGAAGAAAGGAUUUAUUAGUGGGUUUCGGCCACUCCGAGCCACUACUUGUGUUUGGUAUCGUCCGAAGUGGCGCGCUUUUGGGAUUUCAUGAGCAACCAAACACAGAUGAUAAUUGUUGAAGAUACAAGAUUUGAAUAUGAAAGAAAACGAUUGACUAAGGUCCUACGACGGAAGUAGGAUUACUUGUGAGUGAUCCCUUCAAUGAGGUUCCGCCCUACACUCAGAUGUCGUUCGGUGAGAGAAGUGUUCCUUCUGGUUGUUGGCUUUACUGUCUUGACCUAUUAUAUCAGUUUUCAUCUCAGUAACACCUGGUGGCAAGUGACAUCGACAGGGGCAGUACUUUCGUUACAUCAACAGGAAGUGCCCGGAGCCCUCAAACGAAGUAUACUCUCGCAAUUCGCAACUCAAGAGAAACGAGUAGUGGUGUAUUUUCCGUCCAGACCAAUUUCAGACCUCCCUCUUAGCGUGCGAUUGGAAGAGUUACUCACUCAGGUAUAUUGAGAAUUUGCAUAUAAUAGCCUUAUACUAUAGAAAUCUUUAUUUUAUUCCGUGUAUUUAGGCUUAUAAUAUCAUUAAAAAUUACCCCAAAAAUUAUAAACAUA